UACGUAGGCAGCGAGCGUUGUUCGGAGUUACUGGGCGUAAAGGGCGUGUAGGCGGUUUUCUAAGUUUGGUGUGAAAUCUCCCGGCUUAACCGGGAGGGUGCGCCGAAAACUGGGAGACUAGAGUGCGGGAUGGGAGAGUAGAAUUCCUGGUGUAGCGGUGAAAUGCGUAGAUAUCAGGAGGAACACCUGUGGUGUAGACAGCUUACUGGACCAUCACUGACGCUGAGACACGAAAGCGUGGGUAGCAAACAGG
rnacentral:rRNA from 1 species